GGGAGAUUUACAAGCUCUAUGUUUCUACAUUAGUACCUCUACUUUCUCUUCUAGACCAGAAGCUGGGGCCAACAGUUGCAGAAACGUCAACAGAUGGACAGAUUUCUGAAAUGUAUCUUUUCUGGAAAUCAUGGUACUCCACAGCCAAUCUAAAUGACUUACUAGCUGGCACGGUCUGAACUGUGUACAGAGAAAGAAGCCACGGUUGCUCAAGCCAAAGCCACUAACCAGAGCUUUCAAAAGAACUUGGAUUCCUUAUUUUACCUGUUUCAUGAUUGUUUUAGACUGCUCAAGGCUCUAACAAGAAGGACUAUGGAACAAUGGAAUCAUUUUAAUAAAUCAUACAGCCAAAAGUACUUCAUAUUUAAGAGCAUUGAGAGAAAAAGCCUCCAAACAGGACAUUACAUGUGUUUGUUAAAAAUGGAGACCCACGAAUAUUCUGUUUUUAAGCAGCAAUGA
rnacentral:lncRNA from 1 species